CGGAUUUAUUGGGCGUAAAGCGAGCGCAGGUGGUUUAAUAAGUCUGAUGUAAAAGGCAGUGGCUCAACCAUUGUGUGCAUUGGAAACUGUUAGACUUGAGUGCAGUAGAGGAGAGUGGAAUUCCAUGUGUAGCGGUGAAAUGCGUAGAUAUAUGGAGGAACACCGGUGGCGAAAGCGGCUCUCUGGACUGUCACUGACACUGAGGCUCGAAAGCGUGGGUAGCAAACAGGAUUAGAUACCCUGGUAGUCCACGCCGUAAACGAUGAGUGCUAGUUGUUUGGGGCUAUCCAGCCCUAAGUGACGCAGCAAACGCAUUAAGCACUCCGCCUGGGGAGUACGACCGCAAGGUUGAAACUCAAAGGAAUUGACGGGGGCCCGCACAAGCGGUGGAGCAUGUGGUUUAAUUCGAAGCAACGCGAAGAACCUUACCAGGUCUUGACAUACUCGUGCUAUUCCUAGAGAUAGGAAGUUCCUUCGGGACACGGGAUACAGGUGGUGCAUGGUUGUCGUCAGCUCGUGUCGUGAGAUGUUGGGUUAAGUCCCGCAACGAGCGCAACCCUUAUUGUUAGUUGCCAUCAUUA
rnacentral:rRNA from 1 species